UACGGGGGGGGCAAGCGUUGCUCGGAAUUACUGGGCGUAAAGGGCUCGUAGGCGGCCAACUAAGUCGGAUGUGAAAUCCCCAGGCUUAACCUGGGAACUGCAUCCGAUACUGGAUGGCUUGAAUUCGGGAGAGGGAUGCAGAAUUCCAGGUGUAGCGGUGAAAUGCGUAGAUAUCUGGAGGAAUACCGGUUGCGAAGGCGGCAUCCUGGACCGACAUUGACGCUGAUGAGCGAAAGCUAGGGGAGCAAACGGG
rnacentral:rRNA from 1 species